rnacentral:rRNA from 1 species
CCUACGGGAGGCAGCAGUAGGGAAUAUUGCACAAUGGGGGAAACCCUGAAGCAGCAACGCCGCGUGGGGGAUGCAGGUUUUAGGAUUGUAAACUCCUUUUGUGCGAGAAGAUAAUGACGGUAUCUCACGAAUUAACACCAGCUAACUCCGUGCCAGCAGCCACGGUACUUCGGAGGGUGCUAGCGUUACUCGGAAUCACUGGGCGUAAAGAGUGCGCAGGCGGUCUUGUAAGUCAGAUGUGAAAUCCUGUAGCUUAACUACAGAACUGCAUUUGACACUAGGCGUCUAGAGUGUGGGAGAGGUAGGUGGAAUGCUUGGUGUAGCGGUAAAAUACGUAGAUAUCAAGAGGAAUACGCAUGGCGAAGGCGACUUACUGGAACAUUACUGACGCUCAUGCACGAAAGCGUGGGGAUCGAACAGGAUUAGAUACCCGGGUAGUC